GGGGCUUAAGGCAUGAAAACUAGAGGGACGCCUGGUGUGCUACUUGGGUGUGCGACUCGGUCAAGCUGCAUACCAACUCACACAUGAACUCGCAGAAGAAACCUACUUGGGUCUGCGGUUUUGUCAUCUAGCAGCAAGGGAUUUGAGCAAGAAAAAUGCUAAGUGUUGCUGAGGUGUGAGUUGGGUCUGCGAGAUGGAUCCAAGUGAGACCACGCCGCACAUAUACUCGCUGUACAUAUCUACUUGGUCCUGCGAGCUGGCACUUUACAUCCCAG
rnacentral:lncRNA from 1 species